rnacentral:rRNA from 1 species
CAUCCAGACUCCUACGGGAGGCAGCAGUGGGGAAUAUUGUACAAUGGGGGAAACCCUGAUGCAGCAACGCCGCGUGAGUGAAGAAGUAUUUCGGUAUGUAAAGCUCUAUCAGCAGGGAAGAAAAUGACGGUACCUGAGUAAGAAGCCCCGGCUAACUACGUGCCAGCAGCCGCGGUAAUACGUAGGGGGCAAGCGUUAUCCGGAUUUACUGGGUGUAAAGGGAGCGUAGACGGUCCUGCAAGCCAGAUGUGAAAGCCCGGGGCCCAACCCCGGGACUGCUCUGGAAACUGCGUCGCUGGAGUACGGGAGGGGCAGGCGGAAUUCCUGGUGUAGCGGUGAAAUGCGUAGAUAUCAGGAGGAACACCGGCGGCGAAGGCGGCCUGCUGGACCGUGACUGACGUUGAGGCUCGAGAGCGUGGGGAGCAAACAGGAUUAGAUACCCCCGUAC